rnacentral:rRNA from 1 species
GACAGAGGGUGCAAACGUUGUUCGGAAUUACGGGGCGUAAAGCGCGUGUAGGCGGCCCUGCAAGUCGGAUGUGAAAUCCCACGGCUCAACCGUGGAAGUGCAUUCGAAACUGCAGGGCUAGAGUCCUGGAGAGGAAGGUGGAAUGCUUGGUGUAGAGGUGAAAUUCGUAGAUAUCAAGCGGAACACCGGUGGCGAAGGCGGCCUUCUGGACAGUGACUGACGCUGAGACGCGAAAGCGUGGGGAGCAAACAGG